AACCUAGCACACCUGCGGUGUGUACCUGCGGAGGGAUCAUUACAUGGCGGAGGAGGUGGGCACCUAGUAACCCUGGGUGUGUUGCCUUCACGCUUUCUACCCUUGUCUAUUUGCACCUUUUGUCGUUCCCUCGGUGGGUCUUGAACCUGCCGACGGCAACUUUCAAAACCUUUUGCAGUAGUAUCUAAUUCUUCUGAUUCAAAUAUCAAAUCGUUACAACUUUCAACAACGGAUCUCAGA
rnacentral:misc_RNA from 1 species